rnacentral:lncRNA from 1 species
UGAAGCUCAGCGAGGGGAUCCCUUACUAUAUCAUAUCAAAAGAAUGUGAUAAGCUUAAACAUAUCAACUGAUACACCUGUAUGUCGAGGAACAUUCAAAAAUAUUUCAUAUUCAAUAGAAUUAGAAAAGAAUAAAAUAUAUGAAAUUUUCGAUAACUCAUAAAGCUACAGUCAUGCUUGGAUCGAGACUUUGAUUCCUAGGUAAAUGAGAACAAUAAAGCAACUAUCAUGGGAUUCCCACAACAUUGUAGAAAGAGGAUUCCAAAGUACUCAGAUCCAUUUUCUAAAUCUUCGCACCCACUAUACUGAUAGAAAUUUAAUGUUGUUUGUGAGAGCAAUCUUAUUUUUGUUAAAAUCUAGAUCAACUACUCCCUGAUCCCAAAUUAGUUGGAAUGAGUCCGCCACAUUCAAUCUGCUCCAUUCGUUCCAAUAAUCUGUGUUAAGAUUGGUGCAAAUAAAACUUCAAUGAACCUCUGUCAUGGACAUUCCAUGAGAUAAAGCAAACACAAUGCAUAAGAAUACAGGAUUCCUUACAUAUUUGGUGCAAGACAUCCUCAUCAAUAAAGCAAAAGCUUAUUCCAUAUUUGAAAAUAGGAGAAAAUAUCAUUUUUCAGGUUCUCAUAACUUGAAAACCUAAUUGGGAAUCGAUUACCUCUAACAACCUGAAAAACGUGAGUUUAAAUUGGAUUCUCUCAGGGUCAUUUUGAACAACUCUGGGUCCGUAUAUAUUAAAUAGAACUUCAAGAAGAAAACAUUUGUCAAUUACCAAACUAUGGUAGGAAAUACAUUUAUAAAUGUGCGAUAAAACAUUAAAGAAAUUUUUUUAAAAAAUAAAAAAUUG